rnacentral:rRNA from 1 species
GACGAACGCUGGCGGCGUGCCUAAUACAUGCAGGUUGAGCGCUGAAGGUUGGUACUUGUACCAACUGGAUGAGCAGCGAACGGGUGAGUCACGCGUGGGGAAUCUGCCUUUGAGCGGGGGACAACAUUUGGAAACGAAUGCUAAUACCGCAUAAAAACUUUAAACACAAGUUUUAAGUUUGAAAGAUGCAAUUGCAUCACUCAAAGAUGAUCCCGCGUUGUAUUAGCUAGUUGGUGAGGUAAAGGCUCACCAAGGCGAUGAUACAUAGCCGACCUGAGAGGGUGAUCGGCCACAUUGGGACUGAGACACGGCCCAAACUCCUACGGGAGGCAGCAGUAGGGAAUCUUCGGCAAUGGACGAAAGUCUGACCGAGCAACGCCGCGUGAGUGAAGAAGGUUUUCGGAUCGUAAAACUCGGUUGGUAGAGAAGAACGUUGGUGAGAGUGGAAAGCUCAUCAAGUGACGGUAACUACCCAGAAAGGGACGGCUAACUACGUG